GUAGUCACUUCUGCCUUGCAUCUGGCAAGGGUCAUAAAUGUGUGUGUGUGUGUGUGAGCUUGUUCUAUUCUUACAAGGACCUUGAAGACACAAGGUUAUUUGGGCUCACCCAUCCUUGAAAGGAUUUUUAGGUUCUUUGGUUACAUGCUAAGUAGCCUGGAACACUUGACCUGAAAGCUGUGGAUUGCAGCUGCUGCAUCAGACACUUUCCUGAGUAAUCAGCCAUGGAAUUACUAGCCAGCUAAAAAGGGCUGGGGCAUAAGCCCAAUUUCUGGCUACUGAUACCGUAAAGGGUUAAUGCAGUCUGACAGCUAAAGCCUGGGCAGCAGUUUAAUAUUUGGGCAUGGAUUAGAAGUUAAGGUGGGUGAGAGCUGUGGGAAUGCAAGCUGUGCUCUCCAUGUUUGCCUUACAGCUGGAGAGCAGCCCACGACCUGUCCCAUCUCCUGUAGGCUGUGGCCAUUGUGUCUGUGGUGUGCUGUGCUCCUCUCUCCUGGGAAAGAUGCCCAGAGCUGCAGAAGAACAUUCUGUGACCCAGUGACAUGCUGUCUGCCUUUGGAGAUGGGCUUAGUGCCGUCCAUGUCCAGACAGGUUUUGGAUGUCUUGGAGAAUGGAGACUCUACAACCUCCCUGGGCAACUGAUGCCAGUGCCUGGUUACUCUCACAGUGAAGAAGUGUUUCCUGAUGUUCAGAUGAUUUCAGUUUGUGCCCAUUGCCUCCGGUGCUGUGAAUCAUACUGGAUUUGCAAAUGCUUUGUUUGCUCCUUUUGUUUUCCUGACUUAGAAGAAGUGGAGUGUUUGAAGAAUCAGCAGAAUCAAAGUUAACUUUAGAAAUAGUUUAAAUAUAAGAGGGAUUAACCCUGACUUUAAGAAGUGCUGCCCUGCCUAGAUUUGAAAAAGUUUGAAUAUGCACAAAGGAUAUAACUGGAAAGAAUGUUAAAAGAAAAUAUUACCAUUAGUUAUGUUAGUAAAGUUCCUUUGCUGAAAUCGUAUGACAAUUUUAGAUGGUAAGCUACUUUUUAUAGAAUGGAAGGACUCUCAAAUCUGCAUAUUAAAGACUGAGACAGUCAUAUAUGAAGAGUAUUUUUUCUGAAUAAAGUUUCAUAUAUGUGAUUCA
rnacentral:lncRNA from 1 species